rnacentral:rRNA from 1 species
UACAGAGGGUGCAAGCGUUAAUCGGAAUUACUGGGCGUAAAGCGUGCGUAGACGGUCAUGUAAGCCAGAUGUGAAAGCCCCGGGCUUAACCUGGGAAUGGCAUUUGGGACUGCAAGGCUUGAGUGCGGCAGAGGAGACUGGAAUUCCUGGUGUAGCAGUGAAAUGCGUAGAUAUCAGGAGGAAUACCGAUGGCGAAGGCAGGUCUCUGGGCAGUAACUGACGCUGAGGAGCGAAAGCGUGGGGAGCGAACAGG